GAAACUGCUAUGUUUACAGCAGGCAGGGUUAACCCUAGAUGGACCUGGCACCCAGACCACUUCAUUGAGCUAAAGUGGUCUGGGUGCCUAUAGUGGUCCUUUAACCCCUUAAGAACACGUGACAUGUCAUGAUUCCCUUUUAUCCCAGAAGUUUGGUCCUUAAGGGGUUAAGAAUGAUCAAUAAAGAAGUCCCAUUACAUUAUUUGAUCCUAAUUAUCCUUUUAUUCAGUUUACUGUUUUUGUCUCGUAGUGCUGGUAUAUGAGACCAGUAGAUGAGAUGGGUAACAGGUUUAUCUAUUUUAUCCCAAAAACAACUCAAAAAUAUGGCAGACAGUAAGUAGUAGCCAUUGCUGUAAUUAAUUUUAAAUGAAUGUCAAACUCCCCAACAAUGACACAGACCUGAAAAAGCAAAAUGUUCUAAUACGGUCAAGUCUUCCAUAAAGGAUUAUUCUAGGCAUAUGCUCACUUCAGUUAUUUUAGGUGGUCAUAGUUCAUAGAGUUUGUAUGUUCAGCAUUUUGCCCUAUCCUUAUCAAGGCUAAGGGCUUUUAUUUGGGGAGGAGGGGGUUUAUUAUUGGUUAUGUUUAUAAACAUAGUAUCAAAAUUUAGCCCUAUCUGGCCUUUGCUAACUGGUCGUUAGGGGAUAAUGCAAACAAACAUUUUAUUGCUACCAUUCAUAAUAUUUUAAUAUGUUUUUUUUUCCUUUUACACUUCUGGUUCAAAUAUUU